rnacentral:rRNA from 1 species
GCGACCAUGCGCGAGCGUGACGCAGCGACGCCGCGUGGGGGAUGAAGGCCCUCGGGUUGUAAACCCCUUUCGGCAGGGACGAAGGGAAACUGACGGUACCUGCAGAAGAAGUCCCGGCUAACUACGUGCCAGCAGCCGCGGUAACACGUAGGGGACGAGCGUUGUCCGGAUUCAUUGGGCGUAAAGCGCGCGUAGGCGGCUCGGAAAGUCGGGCGUGAAAUGCCGGGGCUCAACCCCGGGACUGCGUCCGAUACUUCCGAGCUGGAGGUAGGUAGGGGAGAUCGGAAUUCCUGGUGUAGCGGUGAAAUGCGCAGAUAUCAGGAGGAACACCGGUGGCGAAGGCGGAUCUCUGGGCCUUACCUGACGCUGAGGCGCGAAAGCUAGGGGAGCGAACAGGAUUAGAUACCCUGGUAGAU